GCGCUAAACCGGCUUCUCGGCGCCAUUUUGUCUGGGCAGCGGUGGCCACAGCUCUAUCGCAUUUCAUGUUUCUGGCGAGAGGACAACGAAGUCUUUCUCCCAUAAAUUCUUUUCAGUGCGGUACCCGUCCGCAGUUCCCUCCAAUUCAGCACAUAGUGAAGGUCGGAGGAGUCGCGGGUCUGUUUAAAAGUUGGUCUGAAGAUAAUCGGAUCUCUCAGUGACAUAUAUCUGGAAAUAUUACUGAGCUGUUACUAUCCAAAUAAGAAGGCAUUUGAAAAUGACUAAAAAGCCAAAAGAAGAGCACAACUAUCUCCCAUAUUCUCUCCACCAAAAGAGUGGGCUUCAUUUUGUGGAAAAAUUAAGGAAGGUGUUCCACUUUUUAAAUACCUGGAUUUGCUGUCGUUGAAAAUUAUGUUUCUGAUGUCACUGCUGAUGCCAUGUGGAGUCAUUGGUACUGGUUUUCUUUCAUAUAUAAUUCAUACUGGAAUAACAGUAUAUUUUAGGAUUUGGAUUCAAGCUGAUAUAGGUUACUUAGUGGCAUUCCUACAUGGCAAGGAGCUAUAAUCAAGGAGCCUACUGUCAAUAAAAGGAAGAACAUAAUUAAACAUGUGGUGGAAUGGUUUUUGAACAGACACAGUGGGGUAUGAUGAACACAAAAAUGUAUUAUUGGAAAAUUACUUGGAUACAGUGUCCAGUGUGACUGAGGAAAUGACACAAGAAUUGGAGAUCCCUUUUAAGAAUGAUAGACAUAAAAGCAAGCAGUAUUGUCAGAUAAGUACUUUUUUUAGUCUAAUUAUAUUUUAUUAUUUGUAAUUUCUAAACCAAAACUUCAUUCUUUAAAACAUUUUUCUUUUUUCUUUUUUAGGUACCAGCAUCAAGGUUUACAGUAAUAAAGGUACUCAGUCUUUUCUGAAAAUAAAUUUGUAGUCUUGUACAAAGUAAAAUGUACCAGCUUUCUCUUUCCUCAGAGGCCAGUCUAUCUCAAUGGUGUAGUUACCUAGUGCCCCUACAACUGAACCUAGGUUAUUAAACCUAUAUAUAGUAUGUAUGAAAACCAAGGCCAACACUGGUGUCAUUCUGAGUUAAAUGUAUGGGUUGUAAAAUGUAACAACGAAUUUUAUAUAAAAGAAGCCAUGGCAGAUUGUUUUUGGCUUGUUUGUAUAGUAGUUAGCUAUUCAAGUAUAAUGAUUUGCUAUUUGAACUACAUAGAUGCUCAAAGUCCAGCAGUACCCUGCUGCUAAACUCACUGACUAGAUUACCUUCUUAGGAAAGCAUGACAGUUGAAUGGAGUGUUACUGGCAUGAGCCCAGCAAAUGGUGUGUACACCUGAGUACUUGGCCUGCGGUCAUAUUGUUUCUUCCUGCCGUGAAUGCUGUUUAGGUUAUGACAGUUGCUCUUGUAAGCCACAAUUCUGAAUAUUCCUCAUUAUCAGUUCUGUUUCACAGAGCACUUCCAUAUAUAUUCUCACUUAUUGAAACAUAAGUAUUUUUAUAUGAACUUUACAGAUUGAGAAAUUUCAUAAGUGACAUAAUAGCAACUUUGUGGAUACUUAAAUCCACUCACCACAAUAAAAGAAAAAAAAAAAAUU